UACAGAGGGUGCGAGCGUUAAUCGGAAUUACUGGGCGUAAAGCGCGCGUAGGCGGCUUUGCAAGUCGGGUGUGAAAUCCCCAGGCUUAACCUGGGAACUGCAUUCGAGACUGCAUUGCUAGAGUAUGGGAGAGGGAAGUGGAAUUUCCGGUGUAGCGGUGAAAUGCGUAGAUAUCGGAAGGAACAUCAGUGGCGAAGGCGGCUUACUGGUCCGGAACUGACGCUGAGGUGCGAAAGCGUGGGGAGCGAACAGG
rnacentral:rRNA from 1 species